rnacentral:rRNA from 1 species
CCAUGCACGUGCUAGUUCAUACAUUUAAAAUGUGAGACUGCGGACGGCUCAGUAAAUCAGUUAUAAUCUGCUCGAUUGUAAUGGUUAUUGGAUAACCGUGGGAAAUCUAGAGCUAAUACAUGUAAUUCAGGGUGGUACCCCCACCCAUGACAUUUAUUAGAUAAUGACCAACCGUGGGGCAACCUACGUGGUGAAUCUAGAUAACUGUGUAGAUCGUAUGGCCUCGAGCUGACGACGUUUCGAUUGAAUUUCUGCCCUAUCAACUAUUGUCGGUAGUGUAGUGGACUACCGAGGUUUUUACGGGUGACGGGGGAUCAGGGUUCGAUUCCGGAGAGGGAGCCUGAGAAACGGCUACCACAUCCAAGGAAGGCAGCAGGCGCGCAAAUUACCCAAUCCAGACAAUGGGAGGUGGUGACGAAAAGUACCGGAUGACAGCCAUUGGUUGUCAAUCUGGAAUGAAAUCGGUUUAAGCAAUCGGUUGAGAAACGACUAGAGGGCAAGUCUGGUGCCAGCAGCCGCGGUAAUUCCAGCUCUAGUAGCGUAUCUCAAAGUUGCUGCGCUUAAAACGCUCGUAGUUGGAUCACAAGCUACUCGCCAGUGAGUAGCGAAGACGUGUCAAUUUUAGAGAAGCAUUUGUAUGUCCUCAUACGGUGAACUAUCUAAAUGGUGCGUCUUUGUCUAUCUCGUUAGCUGGUGGAUAGUAAUUGCACGUGAGGAUAGGCAUUGACCUUGAGUGAGUUGGUGUUUGUGUCUCACGGAGUGUGCCUUGAGUAAAUCAGAGUGCUUAAAGCAGGCUUUACGCUUGAAUGUUAUUAGCAUGGAACGAACAAUCGUGUAUGGUGUAUGCUGUUUAUGUAUGAAGAACAUUGUUCGGAAUCGGCAGCAUAUGACACCGACCGCCAAUUACGGAUGUUGGUUCCGUAUUGGGGUAUUGAUUAAGAGGAGCGGUUGGGGGCAUUGGUAUUUGGCAGCGAGAGGUGAAAUUCUUAGACCUGCCAAGGACUAACAAAUGCGAAGGCAUCUGUCCAGACCGUAUCCAUUAAUCAAGAACGAUAGUGAAAGGUUCGAAGACGAUCAGAUACCGUCCUAGUUUUCACUGUAAACUAUGCCGACCCGGGAUCAGUUCGGAGCCAUCCGAUGCUCGGCGUUGGUCCCCCUGGGAAACCUUAAGUUUUUCGGUUGCGGGGGGAGUAUGGUCGCAAGGCUGAAACUUAAAGGAAUUGACGGAAGGGCACCACCAGGGGUGGAGCCUGCGGCUUAAUUUGACUCAACACGGGAAAACUUACCUGGUCCGAACAUCCGAAUGAUACACAGACCGAUAGAUCUUUGUUGAUGGGGUGAAGAGUGGUGCAUGGCCGUUCUUAGUUCGUGGAGUGAUCUGUCAGGCCUAUCCCGGUAACGAACGAGACUACAGUCUCCAUUUGACGGACCGGAGAGGACAGCAUAUGACUGUUGUUGGCAACAUCAACAUUUGUGUACUGUCGCAGGCAAUGUUUGCGAGCCAUUGUGAAGCCGUGCAUUUGUACGGUGGAUCAUUGGUGAGUCGGCAUUCCCUCUGGCUUGUAAUGUAUUGUUUGACGGUGCAUUAUAUCAUGGAGAGACAGCGGAAUAUAUUCCAAAAUCCGAGGAAGUGUAGCUAUAACAGGUCCGUGAUGCCCUCAGAUGUUCAGGGCUGCACGCGCGCUACAAUGAUAUCAACAGCGAGUUUUUGAAUCGAAAGAUUUGAGCAAUCUUGUAAUUGAUAUCGUGAUGGGGAUCGACGUUUGUAAAUACGUCGUGAAAGAGGAAUCCCUAGUACGUGCGAUUCAUUUAGAUCGCGCGGAUUGCGUCCCUGCCCUUUGUACACACCGCCCGUCGCUACUACCGAGUGAAUCGUGUCAUAAUACCUUGGGAGCGGACGUCGCCUGGGCCUUGUGCUUGGUGUGAUGCUGCGAUCAGCGUAAAAUG